rnacentral:tRNA from 1 species
GCGGUCAUGCUGGAACCGGUAGACAGGCAUGUUUGAGGGGCAUGUGUUGAAAGACGUGUGGGUUCAAGUCCCACUGACCGCACCA